GUUCCCCGUGACCCUGAAAAGGAGUAAGCGGUAGAAGAUGGAUGGAUGGGAGAUAACCUAGGCUUCUGGUCAACAUGUUUGGAUUACAGCCUCAGUCAGAUCACAGUUAGCUAUGUAAUUGUAUACAGACCUGGAAACAAGGUGUGGAAGAAGCUGCAAAAGAUGGAAGAGUGCUCAAACAGCAGCUUAAAAAGGGGAGGACCUGGCUACUACUGGGAGGACAAUAUCCAUACCAUGGGGCACCAAAUGGGGUCAGAGCUCCCCAUCUAUGAAGGUCACAGGGAAACCUGGAGCCUAUCCCAGGGAGCAUCGGGCACAAGGCGGGGUACAGGGUGCCAAUCCAUCGCAGGGCGAAAUCACAUACACAUUUUGGACAUGCCAAUAAUCCUACCAUGCCAUGCACCAUGCACCGGAGUACCCAGAGGAAACCUCCGCAGCACAGGGAGAACAUCUGCACACUCAUGGCCACCGUGGGAGUCGAACCCCUGGACUCUGGAGGUGUGAGGCGAACGUGCUAACCACUAAGCUACCGUGUGCCCCUACCUUAUUAUACAUAACUUUAUGUAUGGACUUUAACAUUGUGAAUUAUUUAUAUUUUCAGAUUUCUUGAGUUAAUACUGAUGUCUGCUGAAGAUUUCAUGUGAAUAACCUCAUUGGAAAUAUAUUUACUGAAAAAAAUUUAGACGCGUCAAAUACUUGUUUCCCCCACUGUAACAGGGACUCAAGCCAUUUAACCCAGUUUCAUGCAUCAUCAUGAAUGAACUUACAAAUCAUGUUUUUAGGUGUUCGAUUAAAUCGUUCAA